GCCUUCGUGGUGUAGUGGUCAGCACGCUCGACGCGUAACCGAAAGGUCCGAGGUUCGAUUCCCAGCGAAGGCG
rnacentral:tRNA from 1 species